GCUCUUCUAGUAUAGCAAUUACAAUCGACUUCCAAUCCUUAAACUCCGGUUCAACCCCGGAGAAGAGCA
rnacentral:tRNA from 1 species